rnacentral:lncRNA from 1 species
UUCAUUUUGCCUGAACCAAAGAUCCAGGCAAUUAUUAUACUGUUUUAACAAAAUAAUUUAAACAUGGUUACCCAUUAGUUUUUUUCUUUUUAACUGUAUAGCACUGUGUUACAUGCUUACAUUAAUUUUAGGAUUAUGUUUACGUUAUAGCUUGGUAAUUUACUUCAUUUAUUUACAAAUGUCUAAGAUCUUAAGGUACAUUUCACUCUUGCUGACAGAUGUAGGUCUUAGGUCACCAGUGAUGUCACAUCCUGUCUCCUGUUAACCAAUCACAAGCCAGAUUUUCAAAGCACAGACUGGUUUCAAUUUCAGCAUAUGUUUACCAUUGUAAGUAUCAGUUACAGCUGAUAACCGACCCAGAACAAUAUGGCUGUCACUCAUUCCUCUACUCAAUAUAUUUGACACAUGCAAGCAGCAUAUGCUUGAUUUACUUCUAAUUAUGUUUUGAAAUUUUAAGACUUAUCUCAUUAAUUUGAUUAUACGAAUUCCUUCAGUCAUAAGCUAAUAGAUUUUCACUUUUAUCAUGUGCUACAAACAUGAGACAGACAAUGGUGUUAUAUGCAUAGACUGGCACCGGCCAGUGUUUGUUUACUGAGUAUAUAGAUUGUUGUGGUACCAAAAAAUCUAAAUACUGUAUUUUCUAUGAUUCAGCAAGUAAUAUCAAGAAGUCAACACAACUAUAUGUAACAGCAAAUGUAUUGAGACUUGUUGCAGAGCUUGUCAUACAGUCUAAACAGGUCUUUGUACAAAUUGUGUCUCAGCAUACAGUUUAAAAGUGUUGUCAAACUCUUGGUUAAAAUCUUGCUAUGGAACCAAUAUAACUAGUGUUUGGAGCACAGAAACCUGUUAUCACUUUGUGACAGUCUAACAGAAAGGUACAGUCUGUAACAAGAUGGGUCGUGUGCCAAUACUGUGGAAAUCUGACUACUUCAUGGUGAUUUGUCCGCCGCCGUGGUAUAGAAACAGGAACAAUGGCAGAACUACCAUGCGGUGGAUUGUGAAGCAUUGCUACAACCUUAUAUUCAUCACUCUAAACACCUGGUGUAGGCGGUGAACGCCAAGAAGAAGAAGACUCUCGACACCUCAUUCCUGAUGGAAUCCAUCGCCACGCGGGUAUGAGAGAAGAGAAGCCACCCUUUUAAUGCUGAGUGUCAAGCAAGGGAGCUACUGGUACCAUUUUUCACGUCUUUGGUAUGAUGCAGCUGGGGAUUAAACCCACAACCUCCCACACUAUGUGUUGGAAAAAUGUCAAUUAAGUGUCUCUUACAAGCUGAUAUAAAAGCCAAAAUAUUCUUGUGUAUGGAAACAACUGUGUCCACUGAGUCUGGUACUUUUUUUGUCUGUCUAAAUGCAGUUAGCAUGUGACUUAUUACAUUAAUAUUUACAUUUAAUUUAGUUGUUAAAAUGCUGCUAAUUGUGAAUGAUCUUUUUUGCUAAAGGUCCGAAAAAAUAAAUAAUAGUAAAAUCAUGUUAUAAGCUAUGUUUUGCUAAUUAAUAAAUACCAGAUAACUAUGUAAAUAUUUAUUUCUAAAGAGCCUUUGGUGCAGGUUUUUUUCCUGUUUUAAAUAACUGAAUUAUCUAAGUUGCUUAAAAUCUUUUCAGU